GGUCAAGCGAACAAGUGCAUGUGGUGGAUGCCUUGGCGAUCACAGGCGAUGAAGGACGCGGUAGCCUGCGAAAAGCCCCGGGGAGCUGGCAAACAAGCUUUGAUCCGGGGAUGUCCGAAUGGGGAAACCCACUCCGUAUGGAGUAUCCAUGACUGAAUACAUAGGUCAUGUGAAGCGAACGCGGUGAACUGAAACAUCUAAGUAACCGCAGGAAAAGAAAUCAACCGAGAUUCCCAAAGUAGUGGCGAGCGAAAUGGGAUGAGCCUUGUACUCUUUAUUUGUAUUGUUAGCCGAACGCUCUGGAAAGUGCGGCCAUAGCAGGUGAUAGCCCUGUAGGCGAAAACAGUAUGAAAGAACUAGGUGUACGACAAGUAGGGCGGGACACGUGAAAUCCUGUCUGAAGAUGGGGGGACCAUCCUCCAAGGCUAAAUACUCGUGAUCGACCGAUAGUGAACCAGUACCGUGAGGGAAAGGCGAAAAGAACCCCGGGAGGGGAGUGAAAUAGAUCCUGAAACCGCAUGCAUACAAACAGUCGGAGCCUCGUAAGGGGUGACGGCGUACCUUUUGUAUAAUGGGUCAGCGACUUACGUUCAGUAGCAAGCUUAACCGUAUAGGGCAGGCGUAGCGAAAGCGAGUCCGAAUAGGGCGUUCAGUUGCUGGGCGUAGACCCGAAACCAGGUGAUCUAUCCAUGGCCAGGAUGAAGGUGCGGUAACACGUACUGGAGGUCCGAACCCACUAACGUUGAAAAGUUAGGGGAUGAGCUGUGGAUAGGGGUGAAAGGCUAAACAAACCUGGAAAUAGCUGGUUCUCUCCGAAAACUAUUUAGGUAGUGCCUCGUGUCUCACCUUCGGGGGUAGAGCACUGUCAUGGUUGGGGGGUCUAUUGCAGAUUACCCCGCCAUAGCAAACUCCGAAUACCGAAGAGUGCAAUCACGGGAGACAGACAUCGGGUGCUAACGUCCGGUGUCAAGAGGGAAACAACCCAGACCGCCAGCUAAGGUCCCCAAAUAUGGCUAAGUGGGAAACGAAGUGGGAAGGCUAAAACAGUCAGGAGGUUGGCUUAGAAGCAGCCACCCUUUAAAGAAAGCGUAAUAGCUCACUGAUCGAGUCGUCCUGCGCGGAAGAUGUAACGGGGCUAAGCCAUAUACCGAAGCUGCGGAUGCGAGCUUGCUCGCAUGGUAGGAGAGCGUUCCGUAAGCCUGCGAAGGUGCCUUGUAAAGGGUGCUGGAGGUAUCGGAAGUGCGAAUGCUGACAUGAGUAGCGAUAAAGGGGGUGAAAGGCCCCCUCGCCGUAAGCCCAAGGUUUCCUACGCAACGUUCAUCGGCGUAGGGUGAGUCGGCCCCUAAGGCGAGGCAGAAAUGCGUAGCUGAUGGGAAGCAGGUCAAUAUUCCUGCACCGUCGUUAGAUGCGAUGGGGGGACGGAUCGCGGAAGGUUGUCCGGGUGUUGGACGUCCCGGUCGCUGCAUUGGAGAAGGCGCUUAGGCAAAUCCGGGCGCGGAAUUCAAGGGUGUGGCGCGAGCGACUUCGGUCGCGAAGCAAUUGGAAGUGGUUCCAAGAAAAGCCUCUAAGCUUCAGUCUAACGAUGACCGUACCGCAAACCGACACAGGUGGGCGAGAUGAGUAUUCUAAGGCGCUUGAGAGAACUCGGGAGAAGGAACUCGGCAAAUUGGUACCGUAACUUCGGGAUAAGGUACGCCCUUGUAGCUUGACCAGCCUGCGCUGGAAGGGUGAAGGGGUUGCAAUAAACUGGUGGCUGCGACUGUUUAAUAAAAACACAGCACUCUGCAAACACGAAAGUGGACGUAUAGGGUGUGACGCCUGCCCGGUGCCGGAAGAUUAAAUGAUGGGGUGCAAGCUCUUGAUUGAAGUCCCGGUAAACGGCGGCCGUAACUAUAACGGUCCUAAGGUAGCGAAAUUCCUUGUCGGGUAAGUUCCGACCUGCACGAAUGGCGUAACGAUGGCCACACUGUCUCCUCCCGAGACUCAGCGAAGUUGAAGUGUUUGUGAUGAUGCAAUCUACCCGCGGCUAGACGGAAAGACCCCAUGAACCUUUACUGUAGCUUUGCAUUGGACUUUGAACCGAUCUGUGUAGGAUAGGUGGGAGGCUAUGAAACCGGAACGCUAGUUUCGGUGGAGCCGUCCUUGAAAUACCACCCUGGUUUGUUUGAGGUUCUAACCUUGGUCCGUGAUCCGGAUCGGGGACAGUGCAUGGUAGGCAGUUUGACUGGGGCGGUCUCCUCCCAAAGGGUAACGGAGGAGUACGAAGGUACGCUAGGUACGGUCGGAAAUCGUGCUGAUAGUGCAAUGGCAUAAGCGUGCUUAACUGCGAGACCGACAAGUCGAGCAGGUGCGAAAGCAGGUCAUAGUGAUCCGGUGGUUCUGUAUGGAAGGGCCAUCGCUCAACGGAUAAAAGGUACUCUGGGGAUAACAGGCUGAUACCGCCCAAGAGUUCAUAUCGACGGCGGUGUUUGGCACCUCGAUGUCGGCUCAUCUCAUCCUGGGGCUGUAGCCGGUCCCAAGGGUAUGGCUGUUCGCCAUUUAAAGAGGUACGUGAGCUGGGUUUAAAACGUCGUGAGACAGUUUGGUCCCUAUCUGCCGUGGGCGUUGGAUAUUUGAAGGGGGCUGCUCCUAGUACGAGAGGACCGGAGUGGACGAACCUCUGGUGUACCGGUUGUGACGCCAGUCGCAUCGCCGGGUAGCUAUGUUCGGAAGAGAUAACCGCUGAAAGCAUCUAAGCGGGAAACUCGCCUUAAGAUGAGAUAUCCCUGGAGGCUUGACCUCCUUGAAGGGUCGUUCGAGACCAGGACGUUGAUAGGUCGGGUGUGUAAGCGCAGUAAUGCGUUCAGCUAACCGAUACUAAUUGCCCGUAAGGCUUGAUCCU
rnacentral:rRNA from 1 species